AUUGAACGCUGGCGGCAUGCUUUACACAUGCAAGUCGAACGGUAACAGGGUGCUUGCACCGCUGACGAGUGGCGAACGGGUGAGUAAUGCGUCGGAACGUGCCGAGUAGUGGGGGAUAACGCAGCGAAAGUUGUGCUAAUACCGCAUACGUACUGAGGUAGAAAGUGGGGGACCUUCGGGCCUCACGCUAUUCGAGCGACCGACGUCUGAUUAGCUAGUAGGUGAGGUAAAGGCUCACCUAGGCGACGAUCAGUAGCGGGUCUGAGAGGAUGGUGCGCCACACUGGGACUGAGACACGGCCCAGACUCCUACGGGAGGCAGCAGUGGGGAAUUUUGGACAAUGGGCGAAAGCCUGAUCCAGCCAUGCCGCGUGUCUGAAGAAGGCCUUCGGGUUGUAAAGGACUUUUGUCAGGGAGGAAAUCCCUAGUGCUAAUAACACUGGGGGAUGACAGUACCUGAAGAAUAAGCACCGGCUAACUACGUGCCAGCCGCCGCAGUAA
rnacentral:rRNA from 1 species